rnacentral:rRNA from 1 species
CCCUUUCGGGGUGCGAGUAAAGUGGCGAACGGGUGAGUAACACGUGGAUAACCUACCUUCGAGUGGGGGACAACCCUUCUAACGAGGGGCUAAUACCGCAUAAUGCAGCGGCUCCGCAUGGAGAUAGUUGUUAAAGGGGCAGCUUCGGUUGUCUCGCUUGAAGAUGGAUCCGCGUUCCAUUAGCUUGUUGGUGAGGUAACGGCUCACCAAGGCAACGAUGGAUAGCCGGCCUGAGAGGGUGAUCGGCCACACUGGAACUGAGAAAGGUCCAGUCCCCUACGGGGGCCAGCAGUCUAGAAAUUUGCGCAAUGGGCGAAAGCCUGACGCAGCGACGCCACGUGGAGGAUGAAGCCUUUAGGGGUGUAAACUCCUGUCAGAAGGGAAGAAUGCAGGAAAUAACUUUUCCUGUUUGACGGUACCUUCAGAGGAAGCCCCGGCUAACUUCGUGCCAGCAGCCGCGGUAAUACGAAGGGGGCAAGCGUUGUUCGGAUUUACUGGGCGUAAAGGGCGCGCAGGCGGACCAAUAAGUCGUCUGUGAAAUCUGUCGGCUCAACCAACAGCCUGCAGACGAAACUAUUGGUCUUGAGUACGGGAGAGGAGAGCGGAAUCUCUGGUGUAGCGGUGAAAUGCGUAGAUAUCAGAGAGAACACCGGUGGCGAAGGCGGCUCUCUGGCCCGAUACUGACGCUGAGGCGCGAAAGCUAGGGGAGCGAACGGGAUUAGAUACCCCGGUAGUCCUAGCCGUAAACGAUGGGUACUAGGUGUUGGAGGUAUUGACCCCUUCAGUGCCGCAGCUAACGCAUUAAGUACCCCGCCUGGGG